AUGGGAAGGCAGCGAACCGGCCGGCCGGACGGUCGCCCCGGAGGGCUCCUCCCGGGAGCAUUUCGAACGGAGUUGAACUGUCGCCGGGCCACGGGCUCAGACCUUUCCAAUGGCAGCUCUGGGUCCCGACGCCAAGCCCCGCCCAGCCCUGAGCCUCCCCGUGUGCAUUCUCGGCAGGAGUCACCUUUGCCUUACAAACCUUCAGACCCGCCCUCUUCCUACCUUGCCGCGCUAGGCCCCGCCCUCUGCGCAGGUCGGCCAAUAACGGGGUGAGCUGGCGCCGCGGGGCGGGCCUCCAGCCAAUGCGCACGCCGUGGGCGGGCCCCGAGCCGGAAUUGGGGGUGAAGCGAUAGCGUUUUGCCCGCAUUCGGGGCGCGCGGAGCUGGGGGGGUCCCUGUGGGGCGCCCGGAGUUAAGAUGGCGUCCUCAGCGGAGGGGGACGAGGGGACUGUGGUGGCGCUGGCGGGGGUUCUGCAGUCGGGUUUCCAGGAGCUGAGCCUUAACAAGUUGGCGACGUCCCUGGGCGCGUCAGAACAGGCGCUGCGGCUGAUCAUCUCCAUCUUCCUGGGUUACCCCUUUGCUUUGUUUUAUCGGCAUUACCUUUUCUACAAGGAGACCUACCUCAUCCACCUCUUCCAUACCUUUACAGGCCUCUCAAUUGCUUAUUUUAACUUUGGAAACCAGCUCUACCACUCCCUGCUAUGUAUUGUGCUUCAGUUCCUCAUCCUUCGACUAAUGGGCCGCACCAUCACUGCCGUCCUCACUACCUUUUGCUUCCAGAUGGCCUACCUUCUGGCUGGAUACUAUUACACUGCCACCGGCAACUACGAUAUCAAGUGGACAAUGCCACAUUGUGUUCUGACUUUGAAGCUGAUUGGUUUGGCUGUUGACUACUUUGACGGAGGGAAAGAUCAGAAUUCCUUGUCCUCUGAGCAACAGAAAUAUGCCAUACGUGGUGUUCCUUCCCUGCUGGAAGUUGCUGGUUUCUCCUACUUCUAUGGGGCCUUCUUGGUAGGGCCCCAGUUCUCAAUGAAUCACUACAUGAAGCUGGUGCAGGGAGAGCUGACUGACAUACCAGGAAAGAUACCAAACAGCAUCAUUCCUGCUCUCAAGCGCCUGAGUCUGGGCCUUUUCUACCUAGUGGGCUACACACUGCUCAGCCCCCACAUCACAGAAGACUAUCUCCUCACUGAAGACUAUGACAACCACCCCUUCUGGUUCCGCUGCAUGUACAUGCUGAUCUGGGGCAAGUUUGUGCUGUACAAAUAUGUCACCUGUUGGCUGGUCACAGAAGGAGUAUGCAUUUUGACGGGCCUGGGCUUCAAUGGCUUUGAAGAAAAGGGCAAGGCAAAGUGGGAUGCCUGUGCCAACAUGAAGGUGUGGCUCUUUGAAACAAACCCCCGCUUCACUGGCACCAUUGCCUCAUUCAACAUCAACACCAACGCCUGGGUGGCCCGCUUUACUUGUUUGUCCCCACCACUAGAGUGUGGGCAGCUUGAGUAGAGUGUCUGGUUCACCACUGAACUCAGCAUCAGCCUCAGUCACUGCUGCUGAACCAAGUGGCUCGUGCGCACACGGUCUCCAGCUCCGCCUUGGGUCUGCUUUCCAUCUCUAAAAGUAAUCAGUCAGCACUGCCUCCUGAACCCUCUGGGGGCUACACGUGGGAGCCCACCAGCACUCCACUCCAAUCCUCAGGGUGAGGACCCAGAGGCAGGUGGCGGGAUGCAAGGACCAGUCAGUUUGAGGGUCGCCCCACCCACCCUUUUCUCCAGCUACAUCUUCAAACGACUCAAGUUCCUUGGAAAUAAAGAACUCUCUCAGGGUCUCUCGUUGCUAUUCCUGGCCCUCUGGCACGGCCUGCACUCAGGAUACCUGGUCUGCUUCCAGAUGGAAUUCCUCAUUGUUAUUGUGGAAAGACAGGCUGCCAGGCUCAUUCAAGAGAGCCCCACCCUGAGCAAGCUGGCCGCCAUUACUGUCCUCCAGCCCUUCUACUAUUUGGUGCAACAGACCAUCCACUGGCUCUUCAUGGGUUACUCCAUGACUGCCUUCUGCCUCUUCACGUGGGACAAAUGGCUUAAGGUGUAUAAAUCCAUCUAUUUCCUUGGCCACAUCUUCUUCUUGAGCCUACUAUUCAUAUUGCCUUAUAUUCACAAAGCAAUGGUGCCAAGGAAAGAGAAGUUAAAGAAGAUGGAAUAAUCCAUUUCCCUGGUGGCCUAUGCAGGACUGGUGCAGAAACUACUUGUCUCCCUUUUCACAGCACUCCUUUGCCCCAGAGCAGAGAAUGGAAAAGCCAGGGAGGUGGAAGAUCGAUGCUUCCAGCUGUGCCUCUGCUGCCAGCCAAGUCUUCAUUUGGGGCCAAAGGGGAAACUUUUUUUUGGAGAAGGAGUCUUGCUUUGUCACCCACGCUGGAAUGCAGUGGCACGAUCUCAGCUCACCGCAACCUCCACCUCCCGGGUUCAAGUGAUUUUCCUGCCUCAGCCUCCCAAGUAGCUGGGAAUACAGGCACGCCACCAUGCCCAGCUAAUUUUUGUAUUUUCAGUAGAAACGGGAUUUCACCACGUUGGCCAGGCUGGUCUCGAACUCCUGACCGCAAGUGAUCCACCCGCCUCCGCCUCCCAAAGUGCUGGGAUUACAGGCGUGAGCCACCGUGCCCAGCCCAAAGGGGAAACUCUUGUGGGAGGAGCAGAGGGGCUCACAUCUCCCCUCUGAUUCCCCCAUGCACAUUGCCUUAUCUCUCCCCAUCUAGCCAGGAAUCUAUUGUGUUUUUCUUCUGCCAAUUUACUAUGAUUGUGUAUGUGCCGCUACCACCACCCCCCCCAUGGGGGGGUGGAGAGGGGUGCAAGGCCCUGCCUGCUCCACUUUUUCUACCUUGGAACUGUAUUAGAUAAAAUCACUUCUGUUUGUUCAGUUUUUCA